CCCUACGGGGGGCAGCAGUGGGGAAUAUUGGGCAAUGGGCGCAAGCCUGACCCAGCAACGCCGCGUGAAGGAGGAAGGCUUUCGGGUUGUAAACUUCUUUUAAGAGGGAAGAGCAGAAGACGGUACCUCUUGAAUAAGCCCCGGCUAACUACGUGCCAGCAGCCGCGGUAAUACGUAGGGGGCAAGCGUUAUCCGGAUUUACUGGGUGUAAAGGGGGCGCAGACGGCGAUGCAAGCCUGGAGGGAA
rnacentral:rRNA from 1 species